UAAAACUAGUUUUUGGAGGUUAAUUUUGCUUUAAAAAACAGCAAAUUUGAAGUACUCUAUAAGAAAUCUACAACCACAUUAAAGCUUAUCAACAUAAAAUAUAUAUUAAACAGUAUUUGUUCUAGAAGAAUCAAGAAAAAAAUCUGCAGGCAACUUAAGCAUUUAUAUAUGAUAACUGAUUUAAAUCCAUAAUUUUCUGUCACUUUUGCUUCAAAUUACCUCCCUUUGGUAUAGCUCUCUAACAUAGGAGGAAUAAACGGUAGUUUGCUUACAUUGUUUUCAAUAACAGUGUACAGAAGACUAGCAGAAAAUUACUAACUUGGAGCAGUCUGAGCCUCAGUUUUGGCGUUUUCAUGAGUCUUAAUUACGAAUGAAAUUCGGCACUUUGAAGCCAGACUCGGAAAGAAGCAGAAACAGAAUUGGAUGAGCUGAUAUAGAAUUAGACAGGAAAAACAUAUUAUCAUUAUGAGAAUACAUUAUUACAGUACAGACCAUUGAUGCUGGAAGUGAGUGGAUAGUGGAUAGAGACUCGGGGAUCCAGAAAAUAGAUCCAUAAAUUGUACAGUGUAUUCAUGAAAGUGGAUCAAAUAAAAAUGUUCAAUCCAAAAGUAACAUUCUUUGUUUGUCUGUUAGCAUUUUUUUUAUUGAUGUAAAUCUAAUAACUAUCAAAUUUUAGCAUGCAGAUUCAUAAAUAGAUAGUAGAAGAAUCUGAAACAUAUCUUUAUAUUCUGCAUUUUGAAGUAUCAUAAUUAAUACAAGGUCAAUAUUAAAUGAUUAAUUAAUUUCAAAACUGACAAAAUGUUUUUGUGAGAAAAAAGAAAGAGCGCUAAUUUAUAUAUUGUACCUCAUGUACCACUGAUGUUGGUGUGAGUGAAAUAAAAAUAAUGAUGAUGAUGAACUAGUUAAAAGUCGGACGACACGUUCCUCAAAUUUAUAUGUUUUGUAUCUCUAGGUAUUAGGCCACACCAAUUUAAUUUCUUGUUCGUCGGACAUUUGAUUUAAAAAAAGUACAA